rnacentral:rRNA from 1 species
UGGGGAAUAUUGCACAAUGGGGGAAACCCUGAUGCAGCGACGCCGCGUGAGCGAAGAAGGUUUUCGAAUCGUAAAGCUCUGUCCUAUGAGAAGAUAAUGACGGUAUCAUAGGAGGAAGCCCCGGCUAAAUACGUGCCAGCAGCCGCGGUAAUACGUAUGGGGCGAGCGUUGUCCGGAAUUAUUGGGCGUAAAGGGUACGUAGGCGGUCUAUUAAGUCAGGUGUGAAAGCGUGAGGCUUAACCUCAUUAAGCACUUGAAACUGAUAGACUUGAGUGAAGGAGAGGAAAGUGGAAUUCCUAGUGUAGCGAUGAAAUGCGUAGAUAUUAGGAGGAAUACCGGUGGCGAAGGCGACUUUCUGGCCAUAUACUGACGCUGAGGUACGAAAGCGUGGGUAGCAAACAGG